ACGUAAGAAUUUGCCUUUAGGAGGGGGAGUAACAACUGGAAACGGUUAGCUAAUACCCACUAUGCUUUUGUAGUGAAAUAGGAAUUUUCCGUCCUAAAGAGAAGCUUGCGGCUGAUUAGCUUGUUGGUGAGGUAAUGGCUCACCAAGGCGACGAUCAGUAUCUGGUUUGAGAGGAUGAUCAGACACACUGGAACUGAGACACGGCCCAGACUCCUACGGGAGGCAGCAGUGGGGAAUAUUGCACAAUGGGGGAAACCCUGAUGCAGCCAUGCCGCGUGUGUGAAGAAGGCCUCGGGUGUA
rnacentral:rRNA from 1 species